GAUGAACGCUGGCGGCGUGCCUAAUACAUGCAAGUCGAGCGAACAGACGAGGAGCUUGCUCCUCUGACGUUAGCGGCGGACGGGUGAGUAACACGUGGAUAACCUACCUAUAAGACUGGGAUAGCUUCGGGAAACCGGAGCUAAUACCGGAUAACAUGUUGAACCGCAUGGUUCAACAGUGAAAGACGGUUUUGCUGUCACUUAUAGAUGGAUCCGCGUCGCAUUAGCUAGUUGGUAAGGUAACGGCUUACCAAGGCAACGAUGCGUAGCCGACCUGAGAGGGUGAUCGGCCACACUGGAACUGAGACACGGUCCAGACUCCUACGGGAGGCAGCAGUAGGGAAUCUUCCGCAAUGGGCGAAAGCCUGACGGAGCAACGCCGCGUGAGUGAAGAAGGUCUUCGGAUCGUAAAACUCUGUUAUUAGGGAAGAACAAAUGUGUAAGUAACUAUGCACGUCUUGACGGUACCUAAUCAGAAGGCCACGGCUAACUACGUG
rnacentral:rRNA from 1 species